AAUAUUGGUCAGUGGAGGCAACUCUGAACCAGCCAUGCCGCGUGUAUGAUGAAGGCCUUCGGGUUGUAAAGUACUUUUGGCAGAGAAGAAAAGGUAUCUCCUAAUACGAGAUACUGCUGACGGUAUCUGCAGAACAAGCACCGGCUACCUACGUGCCAGCAGCCGCGGUAAUACGUAGGGUGCAAGCGUUAAUCGGAAUUGCUGGGCGUAAAGCGUGUGUAGGCGGUUCGGAAAGAAAGAUGUUAAAGCCCAGGGCUCAACCUUGGAACUGCAUUUUUAACUGCCGAGCUAGAGUAUGUCAGAGGGGGGUAGAAUUCCACGUGUAGCAGUGAAAUGCGUAGAUAUGUGGAGGAAUACCGAUGGCGAAGGCAGCCCCCUGGGAUAAUACUGACGCUCAGACACGAAAGCGUGGGGAGCAAACAG
rnacentral:rRNA from 1 species